GAUGAACGCUGGCGGCGUGCCUAAUACAUGCAAGUCGAGCGAACAGACGAGGAGCUUGCUCCUCUGACGUUAGCGGCGGACGGGUGAGAAACACGUGGAUAACCUACCUAUAAGACUGGGAUAACUUCGGGAAACCGGAGCUAAUACCGGAUAAUAUAUUGAACCGCAUGGUUCAAUAGUGAAAGACGGUUUUGCUGUCACUUAUAGAUGGAUCCGCGCCGCAUUAGCUAGUUGGUAAGGUAACGGCUUACCAAGGCCACGAUGCGUAGCCGACCUGAGAGGGUGAUCGGCCACACUGGAACUGAGACACGGUCCAGACUCCUACGGGAGGCAGCAGUAGGGAAUCUUCCGCAAAGGGCGAAAGCCUGACGGAGCAACGCCGCGUGAGUGAUGAAGGUCUUCGGAUCGUAAAACUCUGUUAUUAGGGAAGAACAAAUGUGUAAGUAACUAUGCACGUCUUGACGGUACCUAAUCAGAAAGCCACGGCUAACUACGUG
rnacentral:rRNA from 1 species